GCCAGCAACUUCCCUCCCCUCGACUUGGGAGGCCCCGGGGAGAAAGGCUGAAAGCAGAGUCAGGGCGGGGUUGGGGUGGGGGGACGACUUCAAGGCCCCCUUCCCUGUGCAUCUGUCAAAUGAAGACCAGGAGCCGCUCGCCCGAUCUGUGCCUCAGUCUCCCCAGUCGUGUGAAAGAGCCUGUGUUUGGGUUGGGAGGCUUCGCUGGAGACCUGGUCCCUCCAUGAAGACCAAGUGGGGGUCUCAGAGCCACCAUCCCCCCACCAGAGGCUUCCAGGGCUCUGGAAGGGGCAGGGAAGCAUGGGGACCCGCCCCCCAGGAUCCAGCCUUGGCUCCUGGGCUUCUCCGGUGAGCGUCUUUUGGACACUCACCUCAUACCUCGCCCCUCAUCCAAAUGCUGCCCCCUCCAUUAGCUCCUCAGAGGCCAAGAGGAGGGCUUGUAAUUCUCCUCAGCAGCCUUCUGCAGGUGAAGCAGUCUCCCAGAGAGACCAGGUGACUUCCCACUCAAGGCGGGUGAGGACUCAAAUCCAGCACUGGUCAUGCCGAGAGCGCCUGGGGAAGCCAGGACCCAGUGACCUAGGGCUGGGGGUCAGUGCUCUGGGGAGGGCUGAAGAUCUGUCAAAUACAGGCAAGGGGCAGCUACACCCAUGCAGACCCCUCAAGAGCACUCACACCUCCGUGAGAGUUGUCUGAGGCCUCUCCCAGGUGGCUCUGGGGAGUGAGGGGUGCUGUGGGGUGCUGGCUGCCAAGGCCAGUUCUAAGCAAUUCAGACAAGAAAGAGCAGGAGUCCCAGCCCACCCUGCAGUCCUACUGCUGCCCUGCUGGAGGCCACGCUUGUCCCCCAGGGAGUCCUCAGUUUUAACAUCUGUAAAAUGGACGGGCUGGAAUAAGACACAGUCCGGAGGCCAUCCUGGCCCUGUGGGGCAUUUCAGUCAUCACCAUGAAGGGAGGGAGUCAGCUACUAGCCUGCAUCCAGGCAGGGACGUGGGCGGGACAGUCCAUGAUGAAGCACGGUCUUGUCCAAAUGCCAGCGGUGCCCCACGGAGAAAAAACAGCGAAGGACAACACAGCGCGGUUUGCCAGGCACCAGGCAGGCACUCUGCCUACAUCGGCUCAGCCAGGUCCAAAACAGCCAGGAAAGCUCAGCUCUGGGACAGCUGGAAGGGUCCCUCCCCAGGUGAACUCACCAGGACUGAGCAGGUGCGCCUGCCCACCCCCAGCCAGGGCCUGGGCCAGAAAGAACCACAAACCACAAACCGACAACCAGAAAAGCUGCUGCGAUUUACUAAACUUCAAUUUAGUUUUCACCGAGCUGCUUUUGCUUCUCCCAAAGCAAAAGAAGAAACAGACUUCUCUCAAACAUGAAAUAAAGGACAGCGACACAGGGAAGGACCCCGCACUUGGCUCCCAGGGGUGGGGAGCAUCUUCUUCCCUCCCCGCUCCUCCCCACCUCCCCACCCUCUCAGGCUUCCGGCUCCUCUGCAGGCCAGCAGACCAGCCCCUAGGGUAGAGCCAGGAGAGCCAGGCCCAGAGAGGGUCCCGCAGGCUCCCCUGGGCCCCCAGCGCCCCCUCCCCACCUUCCUGAGCCUCCGGACCUGCGGUGGCCCCUCCCUCUCUGCUUGCCCCCAUUCCCUCCAGCACCUGCCUGGGCUGGAUUCACUUUGACCUCUGCAGUGCCUGGCCCAGCCCAGGUGCUUGGAGAACUCGGGGGACUGUGAAUAGAUACGUAGGAUCGGGAUUGAACCUCCUGAGCUGUUUAGAUGCCUUGUGGCCCACAUCUCACGUUUCCACGGAAGGAGGAGCUGGGGCUCCACUCCCCACAGGGAACCAUGAGAGAGAACCUGAGGCCUCCCCCCUCCUUCCUCCACCGCCCACAGCCCCACCUGCGUGGGAGUCCGGGCCGAAAUCACUGCACUGCAGGCCACUUCUGAGGCCCCCCUCUCUCCUGUCCCCCUGGGGAGCUGCAAUGGCUGGUCAGAGGUGAGGUUUGCUAGACAGUCUCCUCUCAAAUGGGCAAGGCCUAGACCCUGGGAGCAGGUCAUCAGAAGUCCGUUCUACCCCAGCAGCACCAGCAACAAACCUCCACCUGUUUGAGUCCCUGGGAGAGGGGAUGCUCUGCUAGCUUCCUCAAACCCCAGCAGCACAGCCCUCUCCCCACAUGGACCACAUCUGGGGGAACCACGUCCUCCUCACCUUGAUGUCUCUGCGCCCCAGCCUGCACCACACCUCGUGUCCCCCACCCGGGUGUGGGGACGUGAACGGAUGAUCCCUGGGCCCUUCCCACCCUCCUCUCCCAGCACUGCACUGGGAAGCUGGGGCCCACGAGCUUGGCGAGUCCAUGUCCAACUCCUCCUGCCUCGCACAGCCACAGGUAGAACCACGGUUGUGGGGAAGACUCCCCACCCUAAGCCACCCUGAGGUUGGGCAUGAAGAAGGCGCUGUGACAUCUGAGCAGUGAUCACCCACCAGAAACUUCAGAAUCCAGGGGUGAAGAUGUUGACAGCUAAGGGGAGAUUGAGGGCUAGAAUGACAGAAGUUGGGGGGAGAUGAAGACCGCAGUCACCAAAUUCACAGCCUCCACCCUCACCCCAGAAUGGAGUGGGGAGGAAUAUGAGGAUCACAAACACACACGAUCCUCCCUCCACCAUCAUCGGGCUUUCUGCCAGACUGACAGAGGAGCAGACAGACUCACCAAAGCUCCAAGAGACACGUGGCUCCGGGCACCCC
ensembl:lncRNA